AGGAAAGGGAGGGAUUCG
rnacentral:tRNA from 11 species